rnacentral:rRNA from 1 species
UACGUAGGGUGCGAGCGUUAAUCGGAAUUACUGGGCGUAAAGCGUGCGCAGGCGGUUUUGUAAGCCAGAUGUGAAAUCCCCGGGCUUAACCUGGGAAUGGCAUUUGGGACUGCAAGGCUGGAGUGCGGCAGAGGAGACUGGAAUUCCUGGCGUAGCAGUGAAAUGCGUAGAUAUCAGGAGGAACACCGAUGGCGAAGGCAGGUCUCUGGGCUGACACUGACGCUCAUGCACGAAAGCGUGGGGAGCAAACAGG